GGUCCCUGGUGGGUCGUCCCACCUACCAGCUGUGUCGCCGGAAGGGUAAUACGGAGCACUGUGGCCCCGGGGAGCCCCGAGUGGCAGCUCCACAGCUGGGAGUUUCUGUCCACUCCUUCAGUCAACAAACAUUGAUCCUGGGCUGACCGGGGCCCGGGGGUGUCAGUGUCUCCUCUCGGGGGAGAGGGCUGGGUGAGAUCAACAGAGGAGCCUCCCUUCUUCCCUUCAGGCUGGUGUCACCUUCAGUGAUGGGGCAGGGUCCCCACUUGGGAAGUUAAAUCGUCGUCCCCGUCCCAGGACCACAGCAGCCUCAGCCCUGCUCUCCAGGCCAGGCUCUCUCAUGGGUGCUCAGCUGGAAAUUGGUCCCCCCCCGGCUCCACCCACCCCUGUUGGGGUGAGGAGCUGGAGUCUCCCUACCCAUAUGGGACCCACCACCCGCAGGGAACGGAGGACGCUCACACUUCUGCACCUCCUGCCUCACUAUCAGAGACCCAGUGGAGAAUUGCCUCCCACCUCACCUCUUGUAUUCAGAGGCCCUGACCCCUAGGGAUCCGGGACUAGGGGUGCCCUAUGGGGAGCCCACCUGUGGCCUGUGGAUGCUGAGCUGUCGGGGGAAUCCUCCAGGAUCCCCAGCCCCACCUUCCCAACCUUCUGUUGAGGCUGAGGGGACACAGAGCCCCACUCCUGGGUCCUGACUGUUUCAAAGAAAGGCCUGGGGGACUGGGCAGCCAACCCCUCCCUCGGCUCGCUGGGGUCUCCAGACUGGCUGCCCGGCUGGAAGGUGG
rnacentral:lncRNA from 1 species